UCAUCCUGCAGAGGAGAACUGCCAGCAUGACAUGCCCCAGCUUGCUGUGGGCACUCAUGGUUUCCACCUAUCUUGGACCCAGCCUGGCCCAGACUGUCACUCAGUCUCAACCUGAAAUGGCUGUACAGGAGGCAGAAACAGUGACCCUGAAGUGCACAUAUGACACAAGUGAUACUAAUUAUUAUUUGUUCUGGUACAAGCAACUUCCCAGAGGGAGGAUGAUUUUCAUUAUUCGCCAGGAUACUUAUAAGCAACAGAAUGCAACCGAGAAUCGCUUUUCUGUGAACUUCCAGAAAGCAGCCAAAUCCUUUAGUCUCAAGAUCUCAGACUCACAGCUGGAGGAUGCUGCAGUGUAUUUCUGUGCUUUCAGGGAUGGCAACACAGGAAAACUGAUCUUUGGGCAGGGGACAGCUUUACAAGUAAACCCAGAUAUCCAGAACCCUGACCCCGCUGUGUACAAGCUGAAGAGCCCUAAAUCCAGCGACACCUCUGUCUGCCUAUUUACCGAUUUUGCAUCUCAAGUCAAUGUGUCAGAAAACAUGGAGUCAACGAUGUUCAGAUCAGACAGAACCACACUGGACAUGAGGGCCGUGGGUUCCAAGAGCAAUGGGGCCCUGGCCUGGAGCAACGACACCGAUUUUACAUGUGACCUCGCCUUCAACCAGACUGAAUACUACAACUCAGACUAUGCCUGUGAUGCCAAGUUGAUAGAGAAGAGCUUUGAAACAGAUAUGAACCUAAACUUUCAAAACCUGUCAGUGAUCGGGCUCCGCAUCCUCCUGCUGAAAGUGGCUGGAUUUAACGUGCUCAUGACGCUGCGGCUGUGGUGCAGCUGAGGUCGCCAAGCUCACCGUGCUCCCUCCGCUCCUCCUCCUUGUUGUCCCCCCAGCCCCACCUCCAAGAGGAGGGGAGAACUCUGCACCCACCGUGAAAGAGAAGCCUCUCACCACCUCUCUGGCCUCAGAACUGGUUCCGACCCAACUUUUGUGAUCCAGAUGCUAAAGAGCUGCCAAAUACUGCCACCACCCACUCUGUUACCUUCCUGCUGCUUUUCUCUGCCUGACAUUCAUGACGAGGGCAGGGAAUGCUGUGGCCUCACAUGGCUGUGGAGAAACUCCCAACCUUUCCCCAGAGCUGCCUCCAAAGUCCCACUGGAUGACAGAAACCCAGUAGGUCCCCUUGGACUCGAGCUCUUGGAAAAUGUUGUGAGGUGUUUAUAUAUUUUAAAAUACUGUUCAUUAAAAAAAAACAUAUUACUCUUUUUCCCAAUAUGUAGGGGAGAUUAUCUCCUUAUCUAAGCCCUGCUAUGCUGUGUAUCUGAGCCACGUUAUAUAUUCUGCUGCCCAUGGCUUCAUUAAAAGUGAUUUGGAAGAGCAAA